UACGGAGGGUGCAAGCGUUAUCCGGAUUCACUGGGUUUAAAGGGUGCGUAGGUGGUCUUGUAAGUCAGCGGUGAAAGCCUACAGCUUAACUGUAGAAUUGCCAUUGAUACUGCUUGACUUGAAUCAUGUUGAGGUGGAUGGAAUAUAUCAUGUAGCGGUGAAAUGCUUAGAUAUGAUAUAGAACACCAAUUGCGAAGGCAGUUCACUAAACAUGUAUUGACACUGAGGCACGAAAGCGUGGGGAUCAAACAGG
rnacentral:rRNA from 1 species